rnacentral:piRNA from 1 species
UGGAUCUGAGCUUCCCAACGAUUUCC